rnacentral:rRNA from 1 species
GACGAACGCUGGCGGCGUGCCUAAUACAUGCAAGUCGAACGCAGUGGGGACGGGUGAGUAACACGUGGGUAACCUCCCCAUCUGAGGGGGUAACACUUGGAAACAGGUGCUAACCCGCUACUGAUGGAUGGCCCCCCGUUUCAUUAUCUCGGUGGUGAUGUCACGGCUCACCAAGGACACGAGGCAUAGCCGACCUGAAAGGGUGAUCGAGCACACGGGUACAGAGACACGGCCCAGACUCCGACGCUGGGAAGCAGUAGCGAAUCUUCGGCGAUGGAGGAAAGGCUGAUCGAGCAAAGCCGCGGGAGUGAAGAAGGUGUUCGGAUCGUAAAACGCUGUUGUUAGAUAAGCAGUAUCUAACCAGAAAGCCACGGCUAACUACGUGCCAACAGCCGCGGUAAUAC